AGAGUUUGAUCCUGGCUCAGGAUGAACGCUGGCGGCGUGCCUAAUACAUGCAAGUCGAGCGAACAGACGAGGAGCUUGCUCCUUUGACGUUAGCGGCGGACGGGUGAGUAACACGUGGGUAACCUACCUAUAAGACUGGGAUAACUUCGGGAAACCGGAGCUAAUACCGGAUAAUAUUUCGAACUGCAUGGUUCGAUAGUGAAAGAUGGCUUUGCUAUCACUUAUAGAUGGACCUGCGCCGUAUUAGCUAGUUGGUAAGGUAACGGCUUACCAAGGGCAACGAUACGUAGCCGACCUGAGAGGGUGAUCGGCCACACUGGAACUGAGACACGGUCCAGACUCCUACGGGAGGCAGCAGUAGGGAAUCUUCCGCAAUGGGCGAAAGCCUGACGGAGCAACGCCGCGUGAGUGAUGAAGGUCUUCGGAUCGUAAAACUCUGUUAUUAGGGAAGAACAAACGUGUAAGUAACUGUGCACGUCUUGACGGUACCUAAUCAGAAAGCCACGGCUAACUACGUG
rnacentral:rRNA from 1 species